GUGACAUUGUCCAGGGUUGAAAUUGCCAUGUAAUACUCGUUUGUGAUUCAGGACCUGCAUCUUCUUAUUUUUAUCACGAAACAGCAAAUUAUCUUCAUACUAGCUUCAUUAGCUGAAAAUUUAUUCUCUACCACAAUAUAAUUCGCUAUCUGCCUUGCCAAUUCCUCCCCAUCCCUCGGCAAGAGGAUGUGGAGGAAGCAUGCACUGGUGAGAUAUUUCAAGAGCUGUCAUAAUUAGUUGAAACCAAUUAGUUCAGAGAUCAGAGCAUUUUGUCAAUAGAGGCAGAAUUGAAGUGCAUGGUAAGACAAGGAACUGUUUUCCAUGAUGCGUGCUAUUUUGCCUUUAAUUUUUCCAUGAUGUGUCCUUGAUCCAAUGUUGUUUGCCUGUUAUCUUAGGUUCAGUUUUAGUUCAGUUUGGACAAGGUACUCCAAGUAAUAUUUCAGUUAAUCAUGAUGGCUAGUUUGGUUCUUGGAUGGGUGGCGACAUGAGGCUUGAGAGAGCACGGCAGGAUCAUGCAGCGAUGGAUGCGUGCAGCGAUGGACGGGGGCAAUGAUGGAUCGGCGGAGGAGCAAUCAGCGUUUCUCGGGGAAAAGUACAAAGGUUUUGAAUAUGGAGAGUCAGAUAUACCUGGUCUGUGGGUUUGCCUACCAUUAGAAGGCUCUUAUAGCUGUAGUGAAAUUUUGGUCAAAUAUGUUAUGAGCUGUAGUGAAAUUUUGGUCAAAUAUGCUACGAGUUCUUAUGUAAAAGGAUCACAUAUGUUAGGAAGAUGUAUGGUUAUUGAAGUUGACUCCUACUCGUGUAUACGAUGAUUGAACCUUUGAUGCUCAAUAUGAAAUAUGUAUGCUC